UACAAGCCGAAUUAAGGUGAAACCGCGAAAGGCUCAUUAAAUCAGUUAUGGUUCCUUAGAUCGUACCCACAUUUACUUGGAUAACUGUGGUAAUUCUAGAGCUAAUACAUGCAAACAGAGCUCCGACCGGAGACGGAAGGAGUGCUUUUAUUAGAUCAAAACCAAUCGGCGUCGGAUCGCGUUCGCGCGCGGUUCGCUCGUCGCAUUCACUGGUGACUCUGAAUAACUUUAGGCUGAUCGCACGGUCUAGCACCGGCGACGCAUCUUUCAAAUGUCUGCCUUAUCAACUGUCGAUGGUAGGUUCUGCGCCUACCAUGGUCGUAACGGGUAACGGGGAAUCAGGGUUCGAUUCCGGAGAGGGAGCCUGAGAAACGGCUACCACAUCCAAGGAAGGCAGCAGGCGCGCAAAUUACCCACUCCCGGCACGGGGAGGUAGUGACGAAAAAUAACGGUACGGGACUCAUCCGAGGCCCCGUAAUCGGAAUGAGUACACUUUAAAUCCUUUAACGAGUAUCCAUUGGAGGGCAAGUCUGGUGCCAGCAGCCGCGGUAAUUCCAGCUCCAAUAGCGUAUAUUAAAGUUGUUGCGGUUAAAAAGCUCGUAGUUGAAUCUGUGUCCCGCGCUGUCGGUUCGCCGCCCGCGGUGUUUAACUGACAGAUCCGCGGGACGUCCUGCCGGUGGGCCCGCGUUCGUCGCGCGCGCGCGUCCGGACGGAAACGUUCGCGUCGUCGUCGCGCGUGUGCGGGGCGGCCCGACUCACAAUCCCGCUUCGGUGCUCUUGACUGAGUGUCGAGGUGGGCCGGCACGUUUACUUUGAACAAAUUAGAGUGCUCAAAGCAGGCCGAAAUAACGCCUGAAUACUGUGUGCAUGGAAUAAUGGAACAGGACCUCGGUUCUAUUUUGUUGGUUUUCGGAAUUCCGAGGUAAUGAUUAAUAGGGACAGAUGGGGGCAUUCGUAUUGCGACGUUAGAGGUGAAAUUCUUGGAUCGUCGCAAGACGGACAGAAGCGAAAGCAUUUGCCAAUAAUGUUUUCAUUAAUCAAGAACGAAAGUCAGAGGUUCGAAGGCGAUCAGAUACCGCCCUAGUUCUGACCAUAAACGAUGCCAGCUAGCGAUCCGCUGACGUUCCUCCGAUGACUCGGCGGGCAGCUUCCGGGAAACCAAAGCUUUUGGGUUCCGGGGGAAGUAUGGUUGCAAAGCUGAAACUUAAAGGAAUUGACGGAAGGGCACCACCAGAAGUGGAGCCUGCGGCUUAAUUUGACUCAACACGCGAAAAUUCACCAGGUCCGGACACCGGAAGGAUUGACAGAUUGAGAGCUCUUUCUUGAUUCGGUGGGUGGUGGUGCAUGGCCGUUUUUAGUUGGUGGAUCGAUUUGUCUGCUUAAUUGCGAUAACGAACGAGACUCUAGCCUGCUAACUAGGCGUAAAAUUUUCCGGCAUCCUGAAGGCUCGCGUCGUCCGUCAGCCGCGGUGCUCGACGACGUGCGCGCGUGUGCCGACGCUCUCCGCGCGCGUCCGCGCGUUUGCGGGGUCGCGUCGUGUCGCGCUCGCGUGCGUUCCGGGUCCGCGGUCGGGCGUACGCGGUUUUUACUGUCGGCGUACACAUUAAUCUUCUUAGAGGGACAGGCGGCUCCUAGCCGCACGAGAUUGAGCAAAAACAGGUCUGUGAUGCCCUUAGAUGUUCUGGGCCGCACGCGCGCUACACUGAAGGAAUCAGCGUGUCCUCCCUGGCCGAGCGGUCCGGGUAACCCGCUGAACCUCCUUCGUGCUAGGGAUUGGGGCUUGCAAUUGUUCCCCAUGAACGAGGAAUUUCCAGUAAGCGCGAGUCAUAAGCUCGCGCUGAUUACGUCCCUGCCCUUUGUACACACCGCCCGUCGCUACUACCGAUUGAAUGAUUUAGUGAGGUCUUCGGACCGGUACGCGGCGACGUUCCGACGUCGCCGAUGUCGCU
rnacentral:rRNA from 2 species